GGAUAUACAUCUUAAAGAGUCCCUUAGCUGCUUUUGGCAAUUCCCUGUUUCAUUCAUUCUGUUGAAUAUUUUGUAAGUAUGCAUUGUCAGACCUUGACUGAAGAUGAAAGUAAGGUGUCAAAUGUUUAAUAUUAAAAUAUAUACUAAAUAAAAAACACUUCUCUUUACUAGAUGUAAGAGGUGUUGGAUUUAUAUAUGUUACUGUAUUUUUUUCUACUUUGUCAAAGUGAGAAUAGUGAGAAAAAUUAUGCUCAGUUGGAUGGCAGCAGAAUCAUUUAGACUUAUAUUACCUCUGCAAAAUAAACCAGGACUGUUAUUAUGGGCAAGGAUUAUAACCUGAGAUGUAUUUGUUCACCAUGAGGUAGAGAUGUAACUAUUUCUUUCUAUACAUAUGAAACCAAAGUGCAGAAAAAUGCAGAAACUUCCUCAGGGUGUCACAAACAGCACUGAUGGAGACAAAUUCCAAAGUUUUCAGGUUGACAACUGGACUAUAUAUUUAGUUUCUAAAUUGAAAUGGAACUCAGCUUGCCGCCUAAAGCCAGCUGUCAUGGGAUAAUUUUAUUACACUGAGAUGGGAAUGAAACUCCCAACUCUAAGUGAUUAUUAUACUUUUAUAGGAAAGUGUUUUAUAUUUUUAUAGGAAAGAUAUAAUCAUGGUGGUUAAAAAAGACCUUUUCUAUUCUAGUAAGAAGACUUCCACUAGGUAUAAGCAUAUAAGAACUCCUAAUAGCGGUGCGUCACCUUUAACUGGCCUUGAAGAAAGGUAAUGUGAUACCAUUCAAAAUAGGCAAAACCAUAAAAAGUAGUUUCUUGUUUAUUCAAUCACUUAAUACUAGAAUAACUGGAAAUGCCAAGAACUAUUGAAUAGAAGUCAACUUAAAGCUGCCACAGCAUACUACAGUAUUUCCUAAUGAACAUACCAAAUUCACUAACACUCAGAAUGCUUUCUUUAUUGAGUCUAAGGAAUAAAUGUGAUACACAUCUUUAAGUUUUAUAUUUCACAUCCUGAAGGCAGCAAGUGUUUUAUGUUCUUGAAGUCAAGUGACUAUGGGAGGGUUUCAUGUAAUUUUUACCAUUUUUAAAGGGAUUGCAGAGCUCACAUUUAAAAAAGUACACGAUCUGUAUGUAAACCAAAAGCCUUUGAAAUUAAAAAAAAAAAUCCAAUUUUUUAAUAAUUUAUUUAUGAUUUACAUUAAUCUCUUGAAUCUUUGAUAUAUAACAAUUAUUUAACUGCAGGAUUUAGCAAGACGUAGCUGCUAAAGCGUGCAACAGAUGAAUGCUGCUUUAAUUUUGAAACAUUACAUUUAUUCCUUUCUUCCCAUUGCAGCUAUAUUGAGUGCAAGCUGCAGUCAAGCUAAAUAAAGCUCAACAAACCAGUACCAUUUUAAAUGAUGCACAGGUAAAGAAACUAAUGAGUGGAAUGACUUCAUUUGUUCAGUUCCUUUCAGCUCAGGCAGAAUGACAGCCAGUCUGGAGAAACUGCUAAUGAAACUUACUGCCAUUCUAAAAAUAAAAAUCACAGCUUGAAAUGUAAUGCCUGUGCCUCUGUGGAAUCUAAAGGAAAUAGAAAUGUAGCUAUAAGUAACUGUUUGGAAAGAUAUCGGUAUAUUACAAUGUUUACUGGUAAUCAAUAAGCCUGUAUUAACCAUUUUGAAGGACUCUCUAUACCUCUCCUAAAGUAAGGAGCUUUAUUUAUUGAAAAAAAGGAAAAGGAAGUUAAAUUCCCAUAUCCUGUUACCAUUGUGAGAAUUGCAUGUAUGGGAUUUAACAUAAGAAAUUGCAAAGGAAACAAAAUGCUACUCCAGGCUCAGAAAAUAUUAUUCUUUUUUUAGUAACUUAUUCCAUACAGUUCAUUUUGUGAAAAGUUUCAUUUCACUUGAAAAAUGAAAUCCUGCAAGAAAAGAUUUUUUUCUGAAUGGUUAUAAUCUUAAACAAUUUUUUGUGCCUCAGGCUCAAAUAAUAAACAAUUCCAAUCUCUCAGAUCACACUCAGAACUUUAUAAAUCACUGUGGAUUUUGCAUGCAUGUUCAUCUUCUUUCCCAGACUCACAGUAAGCUUAAAUGGAUGGACACUACAUUUAUGUUGAAAUCAAUCUCACUCCUUCUUAGGACAAGAAUUUCUAAAAGCAGGCACAAUAAUAAUUUCAAGAAGUAUGUAUCUGGCAAGUAAAGGUGAAUAGUAAAAAGGGGGAAGAAUCUAGGACAUACGGGUUUCCUAUGCCUAGCCAAGUCAAAAUAGGAAUAGAGAGAAAGUGUGAGAUGAUACCUAAUCCACAAGGAGUCUUAUAUGCACAAUAAUGUUCAAAGCAUUGGUCACAUUUCCUUUAUUAUUCCUCAUUUUAACCAGUCUUGCAUACACCUCCACACAUGAAUACAAAAUACAUGGUUACCUGCCAUCUUCUGUAGAAGAUGACAAUUGUUCUCAUGGAUCACAGGAGAGCUAAGAGGUGAACACAUCAAGCUGACCAUAGAACAAGCCAAUCUAAAUUUCCACUGUUAAUACAAGGACCUGUAGGUAAAUUAAUACACAAAAUUGUGUACCUCUAAGUUUAAAUCAGGUGCUUAAUUAUGAACAGGAAUUUGUUGGUAUCAAAAGGAAGCACACUGUAAAGUGCAAAGUAAAGAAAAUGAGUGGUGUCACACAGUAAUUCUAGUGGAUGAAGGAUUGCAUGACAUUAUCAGGUAGAACCUCUUGCUUCCUUAUUCUAGGCACUAUGUUUUGUAUCUUUUAGAAAGCAAAGGCUCUCUUUAAGAGAAAUGAAAUAUUGAUUUCAGGUUCUAGCUAGACUCCAUUAAGAUGCUCUUUUAAGUUAUAUUGUGUCUGCAAAGAGUAGAGUUUUAUGAACAUAAAUCAGUUUUCUAGUCCAUAAGUGGGCUUUUCAUAAGCACCCAUAUAUAAUUCACCCAACUUUCCUGUGAAUCAAUAGAACUUGACUCACAGCUUUCCUAAGCACUUUCAAAAAACCUUACCCGCAUGUCUGGUAUUGAAUAUAUCAAUGAUGACAAAGUUAUACUACAGGCAGCCCAUUUGUUUCUGAAUACAGGAGCAAGAGAAACAGCCUUGUGGGGAAAAAAAGGACAAUUGAUGACUCACAAAGCAUUUCUCUGUGUGCUGAAAGCAGAUGAUUUGAAAGUAUAUUUGAAUAAAGAAAGAAGACCUGACCAAUGUGAUAUAUGGUUUGGGAUGCCUCUCAGUCUCUUAGCUCUGCCUACACUGCCAGAGGCACCACUCCCCAAACUCCAAAAGGUGCUUUAACACAACAGACCUGGAGCCUAGGUCAGUGCAAAACACAGGAAGUGGGGAGCCAGCCCUUACAACUCAAAGGGACACUCCACUCCAGCCAGGGUUAAGUGGUCCUUGCUCAGGCUCUGACCUAAGGCUCAUCCUAUUCAGGGUGAACAUCAGCCCUGGAAAUCAAAUUAACAGGGAAAAAAAUGGUGCUUCCUUCCUUAUGUCAUUCUUAGAAUGGUCCAAAUUUUUACUGCAUCUUUGACAAUUCUGUCCAAUUACCUAACCCUGUGAGGAGUGGAGUGGAUUACAGGAGAGCAGGUCAGCCUGAGGGAGGCAUACUGAUAUCCAGAGAAGACUGUUUGUUCAGUGAAGAGUCAGGAACAGUUUUAUUUUUCAGCAAUUACAAUUUGACAUGACUUGUUCCAUACUGUUAUAGUGUGUCCUGGUUUCCUCUGGGAUGUUUUGGAUUUAUUGUGAGAAUGAUGUUGAUAACACACAGACGCUUUAGUUGUUGCUGAGCAGUGCUGGCAUAAAGUCAAGGACAUUUCAGCGUCUCCAUGCUUUGCCAAUGAGGAGCUGCACAAAAAGGUGAUAGGCAGCAUAGCCAUGAUACCUGAUCCAAGCUGGACAAAGGGAUAUUCCAUACCAUGGAACAUCACGUUCUGUCUAUAUACUGAGGGGACUUGGCUGGGAGGUGCCGAUUGCUGCUCAGGGACUGGAUGGGCAUCGGUCAGCAGGUGGUGUUUCAGAAGAUGCCAGGGUGACAUCUCCAUCAAGAUCCUGAAGAUCCUAUAUGUCCAGGAAGUCUGUGAAUGUUCCUAACUUGGAUGGGUGGGAGACUGAUAUGCCAAAGAGCAGGACCUAACAAGAGGCCAAGAGAUGAAGUUGAUGAGGGGGAAGGCUGUGAGUUCUUUUGUAAGAGGUCUUCUAAGUCAAUUGUUCUGAAGUGGACUAUCUUUGUGCCGGCAAGAUCCUACAUCUGCUGUCCUCCAGGAGUACAUACGGGAGUGGAACAGAUCUCUUUUCUGUCAAAUACCCAUUGUUUCAGCUAUAUACACAUGAUGUCCCUGAAUAUUACUGCUAUAUCCCAGCAAACCAAAUUAUCCUGGGCUGUAAAAUAUAUUUCAAUAGAUGAGUUACACACACACAAAAAAUAAAAUCUUCCCUUCCAUAUGUAUUGGUACUGUUUGCCAUCCCUUCCUCCACAACAAUGGAUGUGACAAUGAUGAGAAGUGACUAAUUAGGAAAGUAUUAAAUACCUUUGUAGCUAUCUUUUAAAUGAUGUGGUAGCUGUUCCCUAUAGAAAAUGAGUGGCUGCUCCAUAGCCAGGCAGUGGGUUUUUUCGAGUCACUUCCCAGGUCACCAGGAAGCAAGAGCACAGGAUAUGAGCUGUCAUUAACAGACCAACUCCCAUCCCACCGUCUCCACCUUCUGUCUCUGCCCACUCUUAUCGAACAGCCAAACCUCAAAAGAGACAUUACUCAGUAACGCUGAUAAGGACACCAGCAUCUGACCCGCACCUCUGCCCCUCUUUUGCAGAACAAAAGCGGAACAUAAUCACCUGCUACUGCGGAGAUUUUUUCAUAAUAAAAGCUUGAAUAAGCAUAGGCUUUGAUUGAUAUAUUUUGCAGAGCUGUGUGUCCAUUUACAUAAGUAUUUGGGUUCAUUUGUCAAUGUGUGUUCAAUUUUUUUCCACAGAGAGGUUACCACUGUAAGUUUAUAACCACAGCAAAAUUCUCUACACUGCCAUAUGAAGUUUGCCUUGAAAACAAAUUCAGUUGAAAAGGACAGAUAAAUAUCUAAGUGUUUAAAAGUUUCCUGAAUGGCAACAGCAUUUGGUUACAAGAUUGGAAUUUUGAUAGCAAAUGUUUUGACACACCUAUCUAUGAGAAGGAAAAAAAAUACAAUACAGAGUUCUCAACAGAACUCUUAUUUU